rnacentral:rRNA from 1 species
ACUGAAAAUCCUGUAAAAGGGAAUUGUAGUCUGUCGAAGUGAAGUCAAUUUAUAAUAUGAAGUCAAGUCUUUAAGAAAACUGUACCAUGGAGGGUGAUAGUCCCGUUUAAACUUGAUAUUUUAAAUGUACGACUAACUUUCAAUGAGUCGAGUUGCUUGGGAUUGCAGCUCAAAGUGGGUGGUAAAUUCCAUCUAAAGCUAAAUAUUGGUGGGAGACCGAUAGUGAACAAGUACCGUGAGGGAAAGAUGCAAAGAACUUUGAAAAGAGAGUUAAAGAGUACCUGAAAUUGCUGAAAUGGAACCGAUGGGAGAUAGUGUUAACAUAUAAAUAUUUUAUAUAAUUUGUAUACAAAUUAUAUGUGAUAUUAUAUGUAAGUUAAACUUUUUUUAUGAUUGUAAAAGAAAUAUAUUAAUUAUAAAUUUUUAACAAAAUUUUAAUAUAAUUUAUUAUAAUUUAAAAAGACUUUAACAAAAUAUCUCUUAUCAACCCGUCUUGAAACACGGACCAAGGAGUCUAACAUGUGUGCAAGUACUAUAGGGUAUAUAAUCCUAUAUUGCGUAAUUAAUGUGAAAUAUUUUAAUGAUAGGAUUUUUUAUUAAAACACUAUCUACCGACCAUGAUCCUAUGGGUGAAAGGUUUGAGUGUGAGCAUACAUGUUGGGACCCGAAAGAUGGUGAACUAUGCUUGAGUAGGAUGAAGCCAGGGGAAACUCUGGUGGAGGUCCGUAGCGAUUCU